rnacentral:rRNA from 1 species
UGAGGAAUUUUGCGCAAUGGGAGCAAUCCUGACGCAGCAACGCCGCGUGGAUGAUGAAGGCCUUCGGGUCGUAAAGCCCUGUCAGGUGGGAAGAAUGUCCCGGGACUGAACAGGUUCCGGGAGUGACGGUACCACCAGAGGAAGCACCGGCUAACUCCGUGCCAGCAGCCGCGGUAAUCCGGAGGGUGCAAGCGUUAUUCGGAAUUACUGGGCGUAAAGCGCGUGUAGGCGGUCCUGCAAGUCUGAUGUGAAAGCCCCGGGCUUAACCCGGGAAGUGCAUUGGAAACUGUGGGACUUGAGUACUGGAGAGGAUGGGGGAAUUCCCGGUGUAGAGGUGAAAUUCGUAGAGAUCGGGAGGAAUAUCAGUGGCGAAGGCGCCCAUCUGGACGGUAACUGACGCUGAGACGCGAAAGCGUGGGGAACAAACA